UACGAAGGGGGCUAGCGUUGUUCGGAAUUACUGGGCGUAAAGGGCGCGUAGGCGGUGUGUCAAGUCAGGCGUGAAAGCCCCGGGCUCAACCUGGGAACCGCGCUUGAGACUGGCACGCUCGAGUUCGGGAGAGGAUGGUGGAAUUCCCAGUGUAGAGGUGAAAUUCGUAGAUAUUCGCAAGAACACCGGUGGCGAAGGCGGCCAACUGGUCCGGAUCUGACGCUGAGGCGCGAAAGCGUGGGGAGCAAACAGG
rnacentral:rRNA from 1 species